AAGUGAAAGGGUAUGAAUACUUUCCGAAUACAUUGUAAAUAGAUCCAGGAGCCUCGUGUAUAUUCAGAGCCUCUUCGUCCAUCUUCACAUAGCGGAACAAGGAGCUGGAAUAACUUCGGUUUAUGACUUCUAAUUACGGAGUAAGCGGACGCGGCGCCCAGACAUGAAAGGAGGUGAUCGGCGCGGCGGCAGAGAAGUUCUGCUUUCAGGCUCGCAGUGCAGAUGCUGAAGUGUCAUUAACCCGCAGAAAAAGUACAUUUUCUCCCGUUUCGAUGGUUACCCUUUGUCUCCGACGCUGCUUCAAAUGAACAGAGCCUAACAAGGAAGCGCUCCGUCUCGGCACGUAGAUCCUAUUAAGGCAUAAGUGAUCCGCCGUACAGGACGUCCUCGCGGUUUUGUUUUGCUUUGUUGUUUUGUGGCCGCCUGGAAUGGAAAAGAAUAAGUUAUAGUAUUUAAAGGAACGUUAGAUGAGACCCACAUUGUCACAAGAGGAUGACUCAAGAUCAGCUUUAUUUUCUGCUCAUAUUUCCAGUUAUAAGUGAAAAUAGAUUCCGAUUCCGGGGCCCCAGUCAGGACCAUCUGGGUAUUGUUCCGGUCCAUGUUUCCACUGAUAUGAUUGAAGAGGAGCUAUCGGGUCCACGCACAGGCGAGCUGAAAAUCCUUUAAGACUCUUACAAAGUACAAUCAGUCGGAAAAAAAUAAACAAGUCUUCAUAUGUCUCUGCGGAUUGAAAAAUAAAAGAGUUAUGGCUCUUAGAAGGUGUAACCAUGAGGUGUUCUCUAUGUUCUUGAGUCACGGGGAAAAGAUGCUAUAAGCCAAUGGGCCCUGUGGCACAGAACCGGUAGUGAUGGAUAGCCUACGGCAGCUCCAGCCGCCUUCCAGAGUCACCUUGUUUGUGAAAAUGCUGCAACCCAAGGAAGAGCGUCAAGAUAUGUUUUAUGUCUGUACAUUUUAUGUUUGUUCUUCCUAUCCAUCCAAAUGUCUUUAUCUCUAUGGGGAAAAAAAUGCUAAGUAAGUAAACCCUAGUUAAUGUGGCUCUCAGGUAAAAUAUAUGGCACUUAAA